rnacentral:rRNA from 1 species
GAACGGUAACAGGAAGCAGCUUGCUGCUUUGCUGACGAGUGGCGGACGGGUGAGUAAUGUCUGGGAAACUGCCUGAUGGAGGGGGAUAACUACUGGAAACGGUGGCUAAUACCGCAUAACGUCGCAAGACCAAAGAGGGGGACCUUCGGGCCUCUUGCCAUCAGAUGUGCCCAGAUGGGAUUAGCUUGUUGGUGAGGUAACGGCUCACCAAGGCGACGAUCCCUAGCUGGUCUGAGAGGAUGACCAGCCACACUGGAACUGAGACACGGUCCAGACUCCUACGGGAGGCAGCAGUGGGGAAUAUUGCACAAUGGGCGCAAGCCUGAUGCAGCCAUGCCGCGUGUAUGAAGAAGGCCUUCGGGUUGUAAAGUACUUUCAGCGGGGAGGAAGGUGUUGUGGUUAAUAACCGCAGCAAUUGACGUUACCCGCAGAAGAAGCACCGGCUAACUCCGUGCCAGCAGCCGCGGUAAUACGGAGGGUGCAAGCGUUAAUCGGAAUUACUGGGCGUAAAGCGCACGCAGGCGGUCUGUCAAGUCGGAUGUGAAAUCCCCGGGCUCAACCUGGGAACUGCAUUCGAAACUGGCAGGCUUGAGUCUUGUAGAGGGGGGUAGAAUUCCAGGUGUAGCGGUGAAAUGCGUAGAGAUCUGGAGGAAUACCGGUGGCGAAGGCGGCCCCCUGGACAAAGACUGACGCUCAGGUGCGAAAGCGUGGGGAGCAAACAGGAUUAGAUACCCUGGUAGUCCACGCCGUAAACGAUGUCUACUUGGAGGUUGUGCCCUUGAGGCGUGGCUUCCGGAGCUAACGCGUUAAGUAGACCGCCUGGGGAGUACGGCCGCAAGGUUAAAACUCAAAUGAAUUGACGGGGGCCCGCACAAGCGGUGGAGCAUGUGGUUUAAUUCGAUGCAACGCGAAGAACCUUACCUGGUCUUGACAUCCACAGAACUUUCCAGAGAUGGAUUGGUGCCUUCGGGAACUGUGAGACAGGUGCUGCAUGGCUGUCGUCAGCUCGUGUUGUGAAAUGUUGGGUUAAGUCCCGCAACGAGCGCAACCCUUAUCCUUUGUUGCCAGCGGUCCGGCCGGGAACUCAAAGGAGACUGCCAGUGAUAAACUGGAGGAAGGUGGGGAUGACGUCAAGUCAUCAUGGCCCUUACGACCAGGGCUACACACGUGCUACAAUGGCGCAUACAAAGAGAAGCGACCUCGCGAGAGCAAGCGGACCUCAUAAAGUGCGUCGUAGUCCGGAUUGGAGUCUGCAACUCGACUCCAUGAAGUCGGAAUCGCUAGUAAUCGUGGAUCAGAAUGCCACGGUGAAUACGUUCCCGGGCCUUGUACACACCGCCCGUCACACCAUGGGAGUGGGUUGCAAAAGAAGUAGGUAGCUUAACCUUCGGGAGGGCGCUUACCACUUUGUGAUUCAUGACUGGGGUGAAGUCGUAACAAGGUAACCGUAGGGGAACCUGC